rnacentral:rRNA from 3 species
CUUUACUGGAUACCGAUAGCGUUAAUUUAGAAUGGUCGAUACUAAGUAUCCUAAUUCUAAGUUAAUAAUUCUUGUUGGUAGGACAGUUUAGUUGGGGCGACUACCUUUGAAUAAGAAACGAAGGCGAGCUUAUGGUAUUAUUAAAAUCUCAUUAGCCUCACAGUGAGGGGGACACCCCUAGCUGGCACAAGGGCUUCCCCGCAUAGUAUAUACGUGAGGGGGUUCCUAUGUGGGCGAUAGUGACCCGAUAUGAUUAUCCAAAAUAAAUAUCGAAAGCGGAUAAAAGCUACCGUAGGGAUAACAGCGUAAUAUUGUCGGA